rnacentral:rRNA from 1 species
GAUUAACGCUGGCGGCGUGCAUAACACAUGCAAGUCGAACGAUGAAACUCAUUAGAUUUCUUCGGAAUGAAAAUGAAUGGAUUAGUGGCGAACGGGUGAGUAACGCGUGAGUAACCUGCCUUACACAAGGGGAUAGCCUCUGGAAACGGAAAAUAAUACCCUAUGAAACCAGACAAUCGCAUGAUAAUCUGGUCAAAAUGUUUAGUGGUGUAAGAUGGACUUGCGUCUGAUUAGCUAGUUGGUGAGAUAAAAGCUCACCAAGGCAACGAUCAGUAGCCGGCUUGAGAGAGUGUACGGCCACAUUGGGACUGAGACACGGCCCAGACUCCUACGGGAGGCAGCAGUGGGGAAUUUUGCACAAUGGGGGAAACCCUGAUGCAGCGACGCCGCGUGAUUUAGAAGGCCUUCGGGUUGUAAAAAUCUUUUGUAUAGGAAGAAAAUGACAGUACUAUACGAAUAAGGUCCGGCUAAUUACGUG